rnacentral:rRNA from 1 species
AAAYGACUCUCGGCAACGGAUAUCUCGGCUCAUGCAUCGAUGAAGAACGUAGCAAAAUGCGAUACUUGGUGUGAAUU